UCAAUCAUCAACAAACAUCAUAUAAAUCUCAUUUUUCACCCCAAAUCAAGAAAAGAAAAAGAAAAUUUUUUGAAGGGGUGAAGACCCACUUUUUCGAAAAUUUUGGAAAAAGGGAGGGGGUGAUUUUCUUGCUUCAAUCUUUCAAGAAUGCUCACAUACAACAUCAUCCAAGCAAGAUUUAUGGAAUACAUGGUCACUUACCCAAAUUUCUUACCAAGAUUCACACUUUCUCACUCUAGCUUUGAAGCUCUUCUUCAAGGAUUCUCUUGAAUAUAAGUAGCUAGAAUGUGUUUAUGGAAGAUUUUAGAGUGGAUUGAGGUGUUUGGUAAUAUUUUUGGAAGCUCCGAAGGUCUUCUUCAAUGGAGGAAAAUGGAGGAAAGUGAGAGGUGAGGGAGAGAGAGAGUUAGGCGUGAGUGAUGGGUGAGGAAGAGAGAGAGAAUUUUUGAGGAUUUGUUUUGAUACAUGAGAUCUUAAGAAAGAUUAGCAAAUCUUAGGAAAUAUAUGCAAUUAAUGCAUGUUCUCUCUCUAAUCUCUACACUCUCAA
rnacentral:lncRNA from 1 species